AAUGCAAUACACAGCUGUCCCUGCUUGUGGGUUCCUUUGUGAAUGCUGCAGAUGACACAGAUGAUCUUGGGAGGAUGCCUGACUUGCACAAGUUCAUUUUCCUGAUGGGGUUAUUUGGAUUAGAGGUGUGGGGUUGGUGUUAACCUGUAUAAUUUGAAUGCCUAGAAAAGAAAGUCAUCAAUCUCAAACAUAUGUGCAUCAUUUCUGCAAGACAUGUUGUAGUUUUUACAAAAAGUUCUCUCCUGUUGCAGGGUUUAUGCCAGUUGAUGCUAACCAAUUUUUUACGCAGCAAAUGUUGUUUUCAGGUUAAAGCCAAGACGAAAGGAAAG
rnacentral:lncRNA from 1 species